CUGUGUGCUGCCGCCACCUGUUCCCGGUGACUCGUCUAUAGUUGCUGUAAUAUAGAGAAAAUAAGGAAGAAGUGUUUCCUUCCCCCCACUCUGUGUGACUGAGCUGAGUGAGAGUGGGUGCUAUAGCAGCAGACUGCCAGGCGUGAGAGAGCGAUCUGCCCGCCGCUCCACCCCAGCCGCGCCGCGCUACCAGGGUAAAAGUGUAAUGGGAAGAUGCAGUGAGAGGUCUGGCAGGGUAAAAAAAUGUGGAUGCAAAAGAACUGUGUAAGAAAUAUUGUCCGAAGCUGAAUAUGAAUCAAGAAUUGGGAGAGGGAACAACAGUGAUGCACUGCCAGCUAACGCAACUGAAAAAUCUACAAAGGCAACAAGUAUGAGGGAAACAAGCUUACAAGAUGUGUUGGUUGAUCCUGUCAAUGUAAUAAAUGAAAGUGAUCAAUAUGAAAAAGAAGAGGGCACAAGUGAUGUGAGUGGCAGCAAUGUCAGUGAACUGUCACUUCAGAAAAUUCAGCAGCUGGAAAAUGAGAAUAAAGAUGUGAAAAAAACAGAAUGCUGCUUUGAAAGAAAAAACAUAUCUGAUCCAUCAGUACAGGAAAGUGAAGUGCAUUGUAUCAUUUAAACAUUUUAAAACCCAUUUUCAGCAAAACAAAUUGAUGCCAUCAUAAGUAAGAAAUAUGUUAGACACUGGCCAGAUGAAGACAAGAUAUAUCAACAGCAUUAACUCUGAGAAGCAUGAGUCCCAAAUGUUAUGAAUAUCUGAUAACUAAGAAGGACAUUCCUUUGCCUUGUAAGCCAACAUUAAAUGAACGAGCCAAGAAUUUUGAUUGUGAAUCUGGCAUUCUGCCUUCUGUUUUGUCAUUUAUGAAAACUAAAGCAGAUUCUGUUAGUCCACAGGAAAAAUUAUGUGUAAUAUCACUAGAUGAAAUGAGCAUUGCAAGUGAAUGGAGUUAUGAUAUCAUAAGGUCAUUUCAGGCAGUGGCUCUGCAACUAAUGAUUUAUCCAAGAUGGCUCUCUUUUUGCCGAGAUCAUUGAAGUACACAACUCCUGUGUUUCGGGGAUUGAAGGUGGAAUAGACACCAAUCAAAUCAGGAAAGAGAUCUACCACCCCUGCAGAGUGACAGUCCAGUUGUAAUAACUGUAGGGCCCACUGUGGAGGAAGAGCUGUCUGUCGUCACUGCUCAACCAGCGAUGGUGGCCCAGCAGGUUGGGGAUCUGCAGCCACCAGCAACAGAUCAACAGGCUGCAGACCUGCAGCAACCUCCGCUGGUGAGUCCGCAGGCUUUGGCAAGACUCGCCAGCUUAAAGGCAGCUGCAGCUAAAAAACUGCAAGUAAUAGUAGCAACAAAAAAACUACUUGCGGAGCAAGAACUUGAAUACAUGGCAAUAUUAGCUGAAAUAGCAGCAUAUAUGUAGUAAAGCUUCCUAUUCAUUUAGUAUUUAUAUUGUUCAGCAGAUAAAAGGA